GCGGGGAGGAGAUGACACUUGUUGAAGAUGAAACAAAGGAAUAUUCUACACGCACCUACUUGGUUUCGUGACAGAAUCGACGAACCUCGAUGGACCUAGCUAGAGUCUUGGUUCCAGCGCGUCCAGAUUCGCGAGCAACGGACAUGCCGUAACGUGCAUAUAUAUCCACGCAUGCUUCAUCGUACGUACGUUUUGGCCAUUGCAUGCAUGCGUCAGUUUCAAUUCCAAGUCGUUCUCAUUUCUCAGGCUGCUACCAAAAAUUACAAAAGUUUAAGCAAAUUUCAUUUCUUCUAUCACGGGGAGCGAAAAAAGGAAAAAAAAAAGGUGCACCGAUCUAGAGAUGUUGAAUGGUUCUCUCAAACAAUUAGUCUCCUCUAUCGGCACCAUCAGAUACGGCUGCUAAUGGUGAUCAGCAUGACCACCCCACCUGAUGGGCUCUGAAAACCAAAAGCUCAACAGCUGGUCAUGCCAUCCUGGUCAACCAGGAAAAGAGAUUAAGAUUACUUCUUCACGUACAUGCAUGAUCCCGGUCAACGGGUCAACAUCCAUUUCAAACAUCCCGGAUGCAAAAUAUAUUCCUGCGUGGUGAAGCUUCCAGAGUGGCGGACGAAUCGACCAAGUAAGUUAACCGCAUACACGAAUGCAAUG
rnacentral:lncRNA from 1 species